rnacentral:rRNA from 2 species
GGGGGGCNCCGCACAAGCGGNGGAGCAUGUGGUUUAAUUUGAAGCAACGCGAAGAACCUUACCAGGUCUUGACAUCUUUUGCUAACCUGAGAGAUCAGGCGUUCCCUUCGGGGACAAAAUGACAGGUGGUGCAUGGUUGUCGUCAGCUCGUGUCGUGAGAUGUUGGGUUAAGUCCCGCAACGAGCGCAACCCUUAUUACUAGUUGCCAGCAUUUAGUUGGGCACUCUAGUGAGACUGCCGGUGACAAACCGGAGGAAGGUGGGGAUGACGUCAAAUCAUCAUGCCCCUUAUGACCUGGGCUACACACGUGCUACAAUGGACGGUACAACGAGUCGCAAGACCGCGAGGUUUAGCUAAUCUCUUAAAACCGUUCUCAGUUCGGAUUGUAGGCUGCAACUCGCCUACAUGAAGUCGGAAUCGCUAGUAAUCGCGGAU